rnacentral:rRNA from 1 species
UUGAACGCUGGCGGCAUGCCUUACACAUGCAAGUCGAACGGUAACAGGUUAAGCUGACGAGUGGCGAACGGGUGAGUAAUAUAUCGGAACGUGCCCAGUUGUGGGGGAUAACUACUCGAAAGAGUGGCUAAUACCGCAUGAGACCUGAGGGUGAAAGCGGGGGAUCGCAAGACCUCGCGCAAUUGGAGCGGCCGAUAUCAGAUUAGCUAGUUGGUGGGGUAAAAGCCCACCAAGGCCACGAUCUGUAGCUGGUCUGAGAGGACGACCAGCCACACUGGGACUGAGACACGGCCCAGACUCCUACGGGAGGCAGCAGUGGGGAAUUUUGGACAAUGGACGAAAGUCUGAUCCAGCCAUGCCGCGUGCGGGAAGAAGGCCUUCGGGUUGUAAAGCUCUUUCAGCAGGAACGAAACGGUCGGCUUUAAUAAAGUCGGCUAAUGACGGUACCUGCAGAAGAAGCACCGGCUAACUACGU